rnacentral:rRNA from 2 species
GGGUUAAAACGCUGGCGGCGUGCCUAAUACAUGCAAGUCGAGCGAACUGAUUAGAAGCUUGCUUCUAUGACGUUAGCGGCGGACGGGUGAGUAACACGUGGGCAACCUGCCUGUAAGACUGGGAUAACUCCGGGAAACCGGAGCUAAUACCGGAUAACAUUUUCUCUUGCAUAAGAGAAAAUUGAAAGAUGGUUUCGGCUAUCACUUACAGAUGGGCCCGCGGUGCAUUAGCUAGUUGGUGAGGUAACGGCUCACCAAGGCAACGAUGCAUAGCCGACCUGAGAGGGUGAUCGGCCACACUGGGACUGAGACACGGCCCAGACUCCUACGGGAGGCAGCAGUAGGGAAUCUUCCGCAAUGGACGAAAGUCUGACGGAGCAACGCCGCGUGAGUGAUGAAGGCUUUCGGGUCGUAAAACUCUGUUGUUAGGGAAGAACAAGUACAAGAGUAACUGCUUGUACCUUGACGGUACCUAACCAGAAAGCCACGGCUAACUACGUGCCAGCCCGCCGCGGUA